CGCUGUAACACUAGUUCUUAUGCGAUCACCGAAUUUAAGCAAUGUUGGACCUGGUUAUUACCUAAAUGGGUGACCGCUUGAGAAUACCAGGUGCUGUCAG